GCACUGCUGACGAGUUCCAAACAGGACGAAAUAGUUGUCCCGGUGC
rfam:Echinostoma caproni strain Egypt genome assembly, scaffold: ECPE_scaffold0007740